rnacentral:rRNA from 1 species
GACGUAGGUGGCGAACGUUAUCCGGAAUUAUUGGGCGUAAAGGGUGCGUAGAUGGCCUGAUAAGUUAACAGUGGUAAAUCGAGGCUCAACCUCGUGGAAACUGAUAAUACUGUCUGGCUCGAGUACAGAAGAGGUUAACGGAAUUCCAUGUGGAGCGGUAAAAUGCAUAGAUAUAUGGAAGAACACCGAUGGCGAAGGCAGGUCUCUGGGCUGACACUGGCGCUCAUGCACGAAAGCGUGGGGAGCAAACAGG